rnacentral:rRNA from 1 species
AAUGCCGGAUGCUCCAGUUGAUCGCAUGGUCUUCUGGGAAAGCUUUCGCGGUAUGGGAUGGGGUCGCGUCCUAUCAGCUUGACGGCGGGGUAACGGCCCACCGUGGCUUCGACGGGUAGCCGGCCUGAGAGGGCGACCGGCCACAUUGGGACUGAGAUACGGCCCAGACUCCUACGGGAGGCAGCAGUGGGGAAUAUUGCACAAUGGGCGCAAGCCUGAUGCAGCGACGCCGCGUGAGGGAUGGAGGCCUUCGGGUUGUAAACCUCUUUUAUCGGGGAGCAAGCGAGAGUGAGUUUACCCGUUGAAUAAGCACCGGCUAACUACGUGCCAGCAGCCGCGGUAAUACGUAGGGUGCAAGCGUUAUCCGGAAUUAUUGGGCGUAAAGGGCUCGUAGGCGGUUCGUCGCGUCCGGUGUGAAAGUCCAUCGCUUAACGGUGGAUCCGCGCCGGGUACGGGCGGGCUUGAGUGCGGUAGGGGAGACUGGAAUUCCCGGUGUAACGGUGGAAUGUGUAGAUAUCGGAAAGAAACA